rnacentral:lncRNA from 1 species
AUGGAGACUAUCGCCAGACGCAGGGAGGAGCAGGUACUGCACCAGGCCUUGCGGACUGAACAGGCCAGACAGGAGCUCAUUAACCAGGGCAGAGUGUCAGCGGCCAAGACCCUGGAGAGAAUCAGAGGUCGCCAGGUGUCUCAGCGUCUGGCGGAGGAGGCCUAGAAGAGAGAGCGAUUUGAAGAGCUGACAGCAGCUGGAGCUCGACCAGGAGGUGAGUAGCAUAUUAAAGGGAUACUCCACCCCAAAAUGAAAAUUUUGUUAUUAAUCACUUACCCCCAUGUCGUUCCAAACCCGUAAAAGCUCUGUUCGUCUUCGGAACACAAUUUAAGAUAUUUUGGAUGAAAACCUGGAGGCUUGAGAUUGUCCCAUAGACUGCCAAGUAAAUAACAGUGUCAAGGUCCAUAAAAGGUAUGAAAGUCAUCGUCAGAAUACUCCAUCUGCCAUCAGACGUGCAAUCUGGGUUAUAUGAAGCGACCGGAACACUUUUUGUAAGCGAAGAAAACUAAAAUAAUGACUUUAUUCAACAAUUCCUUUGUCAACAGUCUCCUCUGUGUCUGUCCAUAUAACCCUAUGCUGCGUAUUGUCUGUCCAUAUAACCCUAUGCUGCGUAUGUUUUCUGUGUCAUCCGCGCCACAAGGAUGCGCUGUUUCUACGUGUAUAUAGCUUUAUUCGAAAUAAAACAGUGCAUCCUUGUGGCACGGAUGAUACAGAAGAGCAUACACAGCAUACGGUGAUAUGGACAGACACAGAGGAGACUGUUGACAAAGGAAUUGUUGAAUAAAGUCGUUAUUUAAGUCUGAAGCCUCCAGGUUUUCAUCCAAAAUAUCUUAAAUUGUGUUCCAAAGACUCUUUAAUAACCAGUCAGUAAAACCAUCUCCAGCAGAUUUAUCUUGUAUGGGUUUGAUUUUAGUGGCUUAGUGCUACGAGACGGAAGGAGCAGGAAGAUGAUUUCAGCUACGCUCGAGAGCUAAGAGAAAGAGAGCAGAGGCCGCAGACCCUCGAGGAGCAGCUGGAGCGCAGGGCACGGUGGACAGCAUACAGUAUCAAACAGAAAAAGAACGAUUGAGGCUGUAGCAGAGCAAUCACCGCCCACAGUAAGUUAUUUCCCAUUCAUAUUUUCCGCAGGCAUUUGAGUACACAGCAUACGGUGAUAUGGACAGACACAGAGGAGACUGUG